rnacentral:rRNA from 1 species
AUGUGGUUUAAUUCGAAGCAACGCGAAGAACCUUACCAGGGCUUGACAUCCUGCUAACGAACCAGAGAUGGAUCAGGUGCCCUUCGGGGAAAGCAGAGACAGGUGGUGCAUGGUUGUCGUCAGCUCGUGUCGUGAGAUGUUGGGUUAAGUCCCGCAACGAGCGCAACCCCUAUUGUUAGUUGCUACGCAAGAGCACUCUAGCGAGACUGCCG